UCUUAAUCUGUACGUCAAUAAUUGGUAUAGAUAAUAGGUAAAUUAAUAAGUGAAUGAAUGAAUGAAUGAAUGAAUGAAUGAAUGAAUAAAAGAACAAUAAAAGUAUUAUCUGAUGAUUAUCAAUAAGUCAUGAAAUUUCGGCAAAAGAAAAAAAUUCCAAGCAUAAAACAUCACUAAAAUGACUCAAAAACAUCAUCGAUAAAUUUAAAAAACAGAAAAAAAAACUUGAUGGAAAUUUGGAAUUUUUUGUUAAAUUUGAUGAAAGUUGAUAAAAAUUCUAUUAUUAAAACCCCAUUAUGUAAAAUGAUGAAAAAAAAGAUUAAAAAAAAUAAAAUAAAAUAAAAAUUGAAAGUAACCAAAGAAAAGUAAAAUAAGACUUCAAGGAAAUUCGAAAAAAAUUUGCAAAAAUCCCACGAAUAAGUGUUAAAAAAUGCUGAAAUACUUCUUUAGAAAAAAAAAAAACAUUAAAAAUUGAUAAAAAUUUUCUACGGAAGGUAUUUCUGUAAAAUUUGACAAAACUUGGAGAAAAUUUGCGUAAAAAACUGUCGGAAACUCUUUUAUCGAAGUUAAACUCUACAAAAUCACUGAAAAUUAUCUAAAAGGUAUAAAAAUUUCUAUAAACGUAGGAUUUGGAAAAAAUUGCUUUAAAAAAUAUCAAAAAUAUGUUGAAAAUAUUGCAAAAACACAAAAAAGCAUCUAAAUUUUUAAAAAAUUAUUAAAGCUUGAAAAAAGGCUAUAGGUGCUCUAGAGGGGUGAAAUAGCCACCGAGAGAUUUCGGGUUGAUGUUCGUAUAGGUAGAUGGUUACUACAGAGAAACUUCAGACACCCCGUUUUUGGGAAACCCCCUCCCACCAUUUCUAAAAUCACAAUAAGAAUCAUUUUCUCAGCCCCAUGUGAACCAAAUUUUUAAAAAAAUUCUAGUGUAGGUAUUGUAGACAUCCAUAAGACUGUUGUAUGAGUAAUAGGUGUGUACAGAGAGUGAGGUAGUUGGAUGAGUCAGAAUUCGAGGAAUAGGUUGAGGAGUGAGAGAAUGAAUAGUAGGACACUCAAACAUGACGAUUCUAUAUCGUUUAUUAAUUUAGUACAUAGCCAGCUAGACCAUAAGUAUGUACUGAGACAGUUUAACAGUUGAUUAUUGUACAUAUUGACGAAUACAUCGUUUUGGAUAGAACCAGCCUAUUAUUUCAUACGACAGAAUUGGCACCCAACAAGGAAGAACCAAGGUAAAUACUCCGAGAACAAAUGGUAAAUAAUUCGUUGAAUUAAUUAAUUAUUAUUAUAUUCGCACCAUUCGCGUAAUUAUUAUUUUAAUCAUAAGUGAAGAAAAAGCACCAAAAGUGAAUUUUCAAGAAAUCAACUAAGGACAUUUCUGAAAUUUUGAGCAAAAAUCCAGGACCAGCAAAGCUCAGUUUUUUUUAUAAAAAUGACAAGAGACACUCCAAUAACAACUGAAACACUCAUUUUCCAUCCAGGUUCAUUUUCUGGCCUGAAAAAUACUGCAGAUGAAUUUAUUCAAAAAUUUGAACUAUAUGCCAGUAUAAAUGAUUGGGAUGAUGUGAAAAAAUUCAAAUACUUUCCUGCCUAUUUAACAGAUUUGGCAUUAAAUGUUUACUAUAACAUGGACAAAAAUGAAGUAAAGGACUGGAAAAAUUUAAAAGCACAAUUUUUAUCAGAAUUUAAUGGCAGUGCAAGUAAAGAUUUAGCUGAAAUGAAAUUGAUGAAAAGAAGCCAAGGAGAAAAUGAAAGUAUUUUGGAAUACUUGACAGAUGUGAUUAAAUUGUGCAAAAUUUGUGAAGAAAAAAUGGAAGAAAGAAGAAUUUGUAGGUUUAUCCUAAAAGGCCUAAAACCUGAGGUAAUUUCUGCAAUUGGGAUGAGAGAAAAUGGAACUUUGAAACAAUUGAGGGAAAAUAUCCAAAAAUAUGAAGCCAACUUGCAACUAAUAGGAGAAAAAAAGGAAACUGAAGACAAAAUUGAAAAACUAGUAAAUGAAAUCAAGACAAUAAAAUCAAAAAUCAUGGAAAAUGAAAAGAAAAGUGAUACUCCAGUAGAAAAAAUAAUUCAUCAAACUGUGAAUAAAAUCAAACAAACAACAAAUUACGAAAAUGAAGAAACUAGUUUAGAAAAAAUUAUUGAAAUGACUGUAAACAAGGUGAGUGAAAGAAGAGGCUAUAAUUACCAAGGAAAUCAAGAUAGAAAAUACCAUAACAGGACAUACAGAAAUCAAAAUUACAGAAAUCAAAAUAGACAGGAUGAACAAAAUUCAGAUGAUGAAAGAAAUGACCAAAGAAAAGAUAUACCAUAUUGCAGAUACUGUAAUCGCAGGGGACAUGUGGAGAAAAAUUGCAGAAAUAAAUUAUAUUGUGAAAUUUGUGAUCGCCUUGGACAUGAUACAGAUAACUGUGAAAAUGAGUCAAAAAACUAGAUAAGAAAAGGCAUCCAGUUCCUACCAAAACUCCAGUAUUCUACCUACACAAUGAAAAAUCAACUGAACAUUUUACAAAAAUUGAACACUUCAACAGAUUCACCUUAUUGAGGUAUUUUUCCGAAGAUGAACAUGAACAAAUCAAAAAUACCAUAGAACAGAACAAGGAGAAAAUUAUACCUCAAAAAUCAGAAAAUUCCAAGAUAAAAAUUCACCACAUUGAAAAAGCAAACACAAUUUCAGUACCAAAUUUAGAAAUACCUAUCUACAUUGAUAAUAAAAAAUACAAAGCAGUGGUAGAUACUGGCAGUAACCUGACAUUGAUAAAUGAAAAGUUAGUAGGUGACCAUGAAAAAUUAAACAGUUCAAAUACACAGUUACAGUGUGCAAAUGACUCAUCUAUGGUUGUAACAGGCAUGAUUAGGAAAACAUUUGCAUUAAAUAGAAAGAAAUACUCAGCAAAAAUGAAUGUUACGAGAGAUUUUCUACUCGAACAUGCCGCUAUAGUUGAUUUUUCCAAGAAGAUUAUACAAAUAGGAACUGGAAGGAAUGCCAUUCACAUACCAAUGGAUGAGAGAUGGAUUAAUUUUUUUAAUAGACCACUGAUAAAUAUGGUCAGCAAUAAAAUUAUAUCAACAGACGAUAUAAUCAUCGGACCAAACAAAUGUAAAGUAUUUAAUCUAGAUAUGAAUGCUGAGCUGGCAGAAAAUGAAUCAAUUUUAAUUUUGCCAACUCAGACAUUCCAUAACACAGCCGGAAUAAGACUAAUUACCAACAAAGAAGAGACAGGGGAGUGGAAACUUGAACUACACAAUUACACCAACAUACCUCAACGAAUUUAUGCAACACAGCAAAUAGGCCAAGUUCAUAUUAUUAAGCAGGCAUAUGAAAUGAAAACUGACGUGAUUAAAACAACACCAAAUGAAAAAGGAUUUUCAGCAAAUGAUGAAGUGAGAGAUAAUGAAGGAAAUAUUAUCAAUAUUUCCAAAAAUCUAAAGACAGAAGAUAGGCUGAGAGUAAUCAAACUGGUUAAAAAAUACAAACACUUGUUCACUAUGAACUCACUGGAGGUUAGCAAAGCUAAUGUGGACAAAUAUGAAUUGAAAGUGAGAGAUGAUGAGCCAGUAGCCUCAAGAUCAUACAAAUUAGCUCCUGUUGAGAGGAGAGAAAUUUGGAGGCAAAUAAAUGCCAUGGUAAAAGCAGGCAUUUUGAGAAGAUCAAAAUCAAACUACUGUGCUCCAGCCUUCUUAGUGAAGAAAAAUGGGAAAUUCAGAUUUAUCAGCAAUUUUCAAGAGCUGAAUAAAAAAUUGAUCCCAGAUAGAAAUUCUGUUCCCAGAAUGGGAAAUAUUUUCAUGGCACUUGAAGGAGCCAGAAAAUUUUGUAUUUUAGAUUGUAAUUCAGGUUUUCACCAAAUACCUAUCAAAGAAGGAUCCAGAUAUUUGACAGCUAUCAUUGUAGAUAACCAGAUUUUUGAAUAUUGUAGACUACCCCAAGGACUUAUGAAUUCACCAGCAGCCUUUAGUAAAAUAAUCAGCACAGAGUUGGCUGAUUUAUUAUAUAAUGGAGUGGUGGCUUACAUGGAUGAUAUCUGCUCAUAUGGAAAAACCUUUGAGGAGGCUUUAAAAAAUCUUGAGCUGACACUCCAGAGACUUGAUAAAUUGAAUCUUAAGCUCAAAACUUCCAAGUGUAAGUUUUUUUAUGAUGAAAUCGAAUUAUUGGGCUAUAAGGUAAAUGGAGAAAAAAUCCAGCCUAUUGAGAAAAAUACUAGAGCAAUUCGGAAUUUUCCCAGACCAAUCACAGUGAGAAAUGUGAUGUCAUUUGUGGGAAUGUGCUCUCAUUACAGAAAGUUUAUCAAAAAUUUUGCAAAAAUUUCAAGUUGCCUAUCUGAACUCACCAAGGGUGAUGUCAAACCUACCACAAAGGUCAAAUGGAAAGAAGAACAUGAAGAAGCAUUCCAAAAAUUGAAAACCUUGUUAACAAGUGAGCCAGUUUUGGCAAUUUAUAAAGAAGAGAGAGAAACGAUUGUAGAAUAGGAUGCUUCAAGCACAGCUAUAGGAGGGGUACUUUCACAAAUUAAUGAAAAAACAGGAGAAAAGCACCCAGUUGCUUACUUCAGUAAAAAGCUCCAACCUAGGCAGAAAACAUACUGUGCUUAUGACCUUGAACUUACAGCACUGACAGAGACAAUUCAACAUUUUCGAGAGUAUUUAUUUGGGAUUCACUUUACAGUAUUUACUGACCAUGCAGCUUUAAUUUAUUACACAAAGGCCAAAGAACCAAAUGCCAGAAUGGCUCGAAUGAUUCUCAAAUUAUCAGAAUUUGAUUUUGAUAUCAAACACAAACCAGGAAAAACGAAUGUGGUCCCAGAUAUACUAAGUAGGGUAGAAAUACCUGAAAAAGAAGAAGAAAUACCCACAGAAAAUGUAAUACAGGAAGUAAAAAAUGAAGAAAAAGAAGAAAAAAUUGAUUUCAAAACAGAGCAGGAAAAUGAUGAAUUUUGUAAAAAUGUGAUUGAAGCCAAACUAGGAAAACUGAAAAGCACAAAUCCAGAUUACAAAAAAUACAUGAGAGCCAGUAGAAGAUAUGACAUAAAUGAAGAUGGAAUUUUGGUAUUUCACCAAAAAACACCAUAUGGUCAAAUUAAAUCCAUUGUUAUUCCAAGAAAAUUAAUUCCAAAAAUACUAGAGGCUCUCCAUGAUAACCCAUUUGGGGGAGGUCAUUAUGGAAUGAAUAAAACUGUUGAAAAAAUCCAGAAAAGGUACUACUGGACAGGAAUGAUAUCAGAUGUAAAAAAUUACAUCAAAAGCUGCCAUUCCUGCCAACUAAGGAAAAAAGAUACUGGGAAAAAACCAGGAUUAUUGAAACCAAUUGAAGUGAAAAAUUGUGAAAUUUUUGGACACCUAGAACUGGACUUUGUUGGCCCACUUACAAAAAGCUCAGGUCACGAAUACAUCUUGGUAGGUACAUGCCAGGCUACAAAAUUUGCUAUAGCAAAGCCUGUGUGCAGUGCUUCAGCUGAGAGUGUGAUAAAAUUUUUAUAUGAGCUCAUAAGUAUCUAUGGAUGCCCGAAAAAAAAUAUCCUGUGAUAAUGGAACUCAUUUUAAAAAUUCAAAGUUUCAAGAAGUGUGCAAAAAAUUAGGAAUUGAGUUAAUUUAUAGCUCUAGCUACUCAGCUCAGAGCCAAGGAUCAGUAGAAAGAAAAAAUGGCACACUUUGUAGCUCCCUUUCACAUUAUGUAAAUGAAAAUCGGACAAACUGGAGUGAAUUUAUUAAAUUUGUAGUAUUUUCCUACAAUACCACUCCAGUAGCUAGAUUUAAUGGAUUGAGUCCAUAUUACAUUUUAUAUGGCCAACAACCAAAUUUACCAAUUGAUAACAAGCUUGGAUUGAAUACAAAAGAUAAAAAAGACAGACAAGCCCAGAUAGAUGAAAUCCAAAAAAUUAGAAAAGAAAUUCCUGAACUGAUUUUGAAAAAUCAGAAUGAAUACAAAAAGAGUUACGACCAAAAACACAGGGAGGUUUUAUACAACCCUGGUGAUCUCGUACUCUUGGAAAAACCAUGGAAACACUUGGGAAAAUUGAAAACAAAAUAUACAGGACCCCAUACAGUACUGAAAAGAGUAACUCCAUUAAAUUACCAAAUUGAGGUAGAUGGAAAAGAAGAUACAGUACAUGUAAGAAGAUUGAAAAAAUAUAUUCAGAGAAAUCCAAAUCAAAACUGCUGAGAAAAUAGGAUAAGAAAUGAAUAGGAUUACAAAUAGGUUAAGAAUUUUAAUUUUAUAUUAUUAUAAGGUUCCACAUAAUGCGCAGUGUGGAUAGAAUAAGUAGACUAGAAUUAUAAUAGGAAUAGAAUUUUGAAAUUAUAAAAAAAUAGAAUAAGAAAAAUCAGCAGAAAUGUAGGCCUACAGAAAUAAAGAGAGAAAUUAGAGAAAAAAAUUAGAGAGAAAAAGCUGGCACCUUCUACAGGUGAAAAAAGCAAAAAGAAAAAAGAAAAAUGACAAAGAGAGAAAAAAUUAGACUACCUACCAAUUAGAAACUUUAGUAUACCUACUAUAAGUUUGUGUAGAAAUUUACUCAAAUAUGACAAAAUACCUACCUAUCAAGAAACUUUAGGGACAUGGUAUGGACCAUCUGAGGCCCUACCAUGACAGAAUGAACAAGAGGGGAGGUACUAGGGGAAAAGUAGAGUACCCUAUUACCACAAUCCCCAAAGGUCAUCUGAUCAGAAAUCAGAUUGUAAGUUGUAAAUAUACCUAUAUGGUUACUAAGUAAUAUUUUUUAGUACCUAUCCAUUGUACAUAGUUAUUUCUAUGGGAAAAAACUGGUCACAUUUUAUAAAUUGGUAAAUUAUAAUAGCAUGAGAAAUUAUUCAACCUAUAAUUUUUAGUUCAGUUUAUUUACUCAUUAUUUGUAAACAAUAAUGUUCAAAAACUGACCAGAAAAACACUGUUUCAUUUUAAAAAUUCUUGUUUUCAUUUUAUAAGCAUUUUUUUUUUUACCCAUAAGCAUCAAAAAAUGUAAACUGUUUGUAAAAACCUAGCAUAAGAUGUUUAGAAUUUUACAAUAAUAGACUAAGUAUUGAUAAGUGAGGUCACUUAUUUUUUAAAGGAAGAGGUAGAUGUUGUAUGAGUAAUAGGUGUGUACAGAGAGUGAGCUAGUUGGAUGAGUCAGAAUUCGAGGAAUAGGUUGAGGAGUGAGAGAAUGAAAAGUAGGACACUCAAACAUGACGAUUCUAUAUCGUUUAUUAAUUUAGUACAUAGCCAGCUAGACCAUAAGUAUGUACUGAGACAGUUUAACAGUUGAUUAUUGUACAUAUUGACGAAUACAUCGUUUUGGAUAGAA